rnacentral:rRNA from 1 species
GACGAACGCUGGCGGCGUGCUUAACACAUGCAAGUCGAGCGAGGCCCCUCCUUCGGGAGGGUGUCCUAGCGGCGAACGGGUGAGUAACACGUGGGCAACCUGCCCCCGGCUCUGGGAUAACUCCAAGAAAUUGGGGCUAAUACCGGAUAUGACCGCUGACCGCAUGGUCUGGUGGUGGAAAGAUUUAUCGGCUGGGGAUAGGCCCGCGGCCUAGCAGCUUGUUGGUGGGGUAGUGGCCUACCAAGGCGACGACUGGUAGCCGGCCUGGGGGUGACCGGCCACACUGGGACUGGGACACGGCCCAGACUCCUACGGGAGGCAGAAGUGGGGAAUAUUGCGCAAUGGGCGGAAGCCUGACGCAGCGACGCCGCGUGGGGGAUGACGGCCUUCGGGUUGUAAACCUCUUUCAGCAGGGACGAAGCGAAAGUGACGGUACCUGCAGAAGAAGCACCGGCCAACUACGUGCCAGCCGCCGCCGUAA